GGAUGUGAGGGCGAUCUGGCUGCGACAUCUGUCACCCCAAUUAUCUGGCUGGCUAGGCGGGUGUCCCCUUCCUCCCUCACAGCUCCAUGUGCGUCCCUCCUGAAGCUGCGCGCUCRGUCGAAGAGGAUGACCUUCCCCGAUAGAGGAGGACCUUUCUUCGGUCAAGGGUAUACGAGUACCUGCGCUCCCCUGCUAGAACCUCCAAACAAGCUCUCAAGAAAAUACAUGYCCCAAACUUUUGUCAACAUUAAAAUGCAAAUGCUGGGUUCAUUCAAUUAGCAUACACAAUAUUAUAAACCUCAGGUUACAAUUGAAUUAAAUAUUGA
rnacentral:snRNA from 1 species